CUCUUCAGCCUCUAACUGAUGGGCUAACAGGGAACUACAGGUGUAGCUUUGAAGUGGGUGAGCCUGAGCUUUUUGAGUGACAAGUGAAAAGAUAACAACGAAGAUCAGAAAUGUCUGAGAGGAUCCUGUGGCAGUGUGCAAAACUUUUAAGGAAGGCUUAGGAAGGGGGAAGGAUCAAAGGUGUGAGAAAUGGGGGAGUGGGGAGGAGCAAGGGGGGAGGAAGGACAAAAAGUUUACGUCAGUACACCUGCUGGGAUCAUCACUGCUCCAGAGAAGCCAGGCUCCACACAAGGCUAUUAGCUGUGCUGAGGGCCGAUGCUAACAUUAAUGGGGUGCAUGAAUGUGGGAGUGCUUGCAGAACUAAUGGGUGAAGGUGUGUGCUUGCACUGGGGAACUGCAGUCCUGAUUAGCCUGAGAGGAGGAACAGGGCUUGGCUCUGAGCUUCGGGCUUAUAAGAGAACUGGUGUUGUUACCUGUGGGUGUUGCUAUGGCAGUGAGUGCCCUGCCUGUGCAGCCAGCAGAGUCAUUUCCGGCAGCUCUGUCGUCUUGGGGCUGGGAGGUGGUUUUCUGCCUCUUGCUCACUCACAAACAAGAGGCUCGGUCUCAGCAUGCACCGCAGCUCUCUCGUCCUCACUGCCUUCCUGGGACAACUGCUGGGUGCCAUGGGGCAGACCAUUGUCAGCCAGCAAGAAGGACAGGUCACAGUGCAGGAGAGAAACACCUUCCAGACCACCUGCACAUACCAGGCAACUAACUUUAAUGGUUUGUUUUGGUACCAGCAGAAGAAAGGCCAAGCUCCCCAGCUGGUCACAUAUCAGGCAGCAGCAGGCUCCAAGCAGAACGGCCGUUUCACCACGUGGCUGAACACCACCGGGAAAUACAGCCUGCUGCGGCUGGCAGAAGUCGAGCUGUCUGACAGCGCCUUGUACCUCUGUGCUGUGCAGGACACCCUGGUGCAGGGAGCUUCCUUGGCCGUGCAACAACCCCAGGGAGGGAGGAGUGGCUGUAAGCAGAGCAGAGGUGCAGCAGGAACCGUUGGCAGCGACCACCGAGGACAUCGUAGUCAGCAUCACCUGCUCACACCCCAACAUUCAGUCUUACAGUGAUAUAUACUGGUACCGUCAGUUCCCGGGCCGGAGCCCCGCAUUCAUCGGGUUCAUUUAUGAAGGUUCCAAGGACGUGCCGGACCCGGCGGGGCAGCUGUCGGUGUCGGCAGACCGC